rnacentral:rRNA from 1 species
GUCUAUGGCCAUGCCACCCUGAACAAGCCCAAUCCCGUCUGAUCUCGGAAGCUAAGCAGGGUCAGGCCUGGUUAGUACUUGGAUGGGAGACCACCUAGGAAGACCAGGUGCUGUAGGCA